rnacentral:rRNA from 1 species
GGGUUGUGAGGUUAAGCGACUAAGCGUACACGGUGGAUGCCCUGGCAGUCAGAGGCGAUGAAGGACGUGCUAAUCUGCGAAAAGCGUCGGUAAGGUGAUAUGAACCGUUACAGCCGGCGAUGUCCGAAUGGGGAAACCCAGUGUGAUUCGUCACACUAUCGUUAACUGAAUACAUAGGUUAACGAGGCGAACCGGGGGAACUGAAACAUCUAAGUACCCCGAGGAAAAGAAAUCAACCGAGAUUCCCCCAGUAGCGGCGAGCGAACGGGGAGCAGCCCAGAGUCUGAAUCAGCUUGUGUGUUAGUGGAACGGUCUGGAAAGUCCGACGGUACAGGGUGAUAGUCCCGUACACCAAAAUGCACAGGCUGUGAACUCGAAGAGUAGGGCGGGACACGUGGUAUCCUGUCUGAAUAUGGGGGGACCAUCCUCCAAGGCUAAAUACUCCUGACUGACCGAUAGUGAACCAGUACCGUGAGGGAAAGGCGAAAAGAACCCCGGCGAGGGGAGUGAAAAAGAACCUGAAACCGUGUACGUACAAGCAGUGGGAGCACCUUCGGGUGUGACUGCGUACCUUUUGUAUAAUGGGUCAGCGACUUAUAUUCUGUAGCAAGGUUAACCGUAUAGGGGAGCCGCAGGGAAACCGAGUCUUAACUGGGCGUUAAGUUGCAGGGUAUAGACCCGAAACCCGGUGAUCU